UACGUAGGGUGCAAGCGUUAAUCGGAAUUACUGGGCGUAAAGCGUGCGCAGGCGGUUUUGUAAGUCUGUCGUGAAAGCCCCGGGCUCAACCUGGGAAUUGCGAUGGAGACUGCAAGGCUUGAAUCUGGCAGAGGGGGGUAGAAUUCCACGUGUAGCAGUGAAAUGCGUAGAGAUGUGGAGGAACACCGAUGGCGAAGGCAGCCCCCUGGGUCAAGAUUGACGCUCAUGCACGAAGCGUGGGAGCAACAGG
rnacentral:rRNA from 1 species